rnacentral:rRNA from 1 species
UGGGGUAACGGCCUACCCAAGGCGACGAUCAGUAGNUGGUNUGAGAGGAUGAUCAGCCACACUGGGACUUGAGACACGGCCCAGACUUCCUACGGGAGGCAGCAGUGGGGAAUAUUUGGACAAUGGGCGCAAGCCUGAUCCAGCCAUGCCGCGUGAGUGAUGAAGGCCUUAGGGUUGUAAAGCUCUUUUAUCCGGGACGAUAAUGACGGUACCGGAGGAAUAAGCCCCGGCUAACUUCGUGCCAGCAGCCGCGGUAAUACGAAGGGGGCUAGCGUUGCUCGGAAUCACUGGGCGUAAAGGGCGCGUAGGCGGCGUUUUAAGUCGGGGGUGAAAGCCUGUGGCUCAACCACAGAAUGGCCUUCGAUACUGGGACGCUUGAGUAUGGUAGAGGUUGGUGGAACUGCGAGUGUAGAGGUGAAAUUCGUAGAUAUUCGCAAGAACACCGGUGGCGAAGGCGGCCAACUGGACCAUUACUGACGCUGAGGCGCGAAAGCGUGGGGAGCAAACAGGAUUAGAUACCCUGGUAGUCCACGC